CUGAGGUUAAUACUCGAUAGGAGAGGUACCCUGGAAUGAUUUAUCUCUCAAAUUCGCGCCUAAGGAUGGGUCUGCGGCCGAUUAGGUUGUUGGCGGGGUAAAAGCCCACCAAGCCAAUGAUCCGUAAGGGCUCUUAGCGGAGAGGCCCGGAGAGGGAAUUUGAGAUACUACUCCAAGCCCUACGGGGUGCAGCAGUUAGGGAUCUUUCUGCAAUGCGCGCAAGCGUGACAGAGCGAGCCAGAGUGUUAUUCCUUUUAGGAAUAACUUUUGCCAGCUGUAAAAAGGCUGGCGAAUAAGGACUGGGCAAGACCGGUGCCAGCCGCCGCGGUAAUCCCGGCGGUCCAAGUCGCAACCACAAUUAUUGGGUCUAAAACAUCCGUAGCUUGUUCUGUAAGUUUAUUGUGAAAUUCUGUCUCUUAAGGGCAGAGAUUGCAAUGGAUACUGCAGAGCUAGAGACUGGGGGACGUAACGAGUACAUUUGAGGUAGUGCAAAAUACGUUAAUCUCAAGUGGACUAACACUAGCGAAGGCACGUUACGAUAACAGUUCUGACAGUGAGGGAUGAAGGCUAGGGGCGCAAAAUGGAUUAGAUACCCAUGUAGUCCUAGCAGUAAACACUGUACACUAAACCUUGUGACCUCCUCGAGAGGUUGCAGGGCUGUAGAGAAGUCGAAGAGUGUACUACCUGGGAAGUAUAGCCGCAAGGCCGAAACUUAA
rnacentral:rRNA from 1 species